UCUGCCUAGAAACUGCUCAGUGCCAGCCUUUCUCUGGACCUCACUCACUCCCAUUUAUCUGCCUCCUGCCUCCUCAGUCACCAGCUCCUAGAGCCCCUGCACCCAGAUCCAGCCCAGCUUGGCCCAGAGAGAGGGCACCACUGAAACCCAGGUUACCACCUGUCGCCUGAGUCUCCUGGAAACUUAGAUGCUGUAACCCCCCUUGCCUUGGCUUUCUCUCCCCCUUCUCUCUUUCUCCCCCAACAUCCUCUCCCCUCCUUCCCCCAGCCACAUCUUUCUGAUUUCCAUCACUGAUUUCAACCUCAACGUCCCCAGCCUUCUUGCACCAAGUGCCGUUGGAGACCUCCGUUCCCAUCGCCUGGACUGUUGCCGGUCCUCGCUUGGGGGCUGCACGUCUACCCACUCAUCCCGGGGCUCCUGGACAAGCUUCUGCCCAGCUCAGAGAGGCCGUGGCAAACCUCUGCCACACAAGCUCACGUGGAUUCGACAGUAACCUUUUCUAAUGGUGCAGGUGUAAUCAAAAUGCUGACUGCAGAAAGUGAGGGGGACUGCAUUCCGUAACACUUGGUGUGGCUCUCAGCAAUCCCUCACGCUGGGCUUUCAGAAGGGAGAGAAACAUCCUGGGCGAGGUGGAAGGGGAUUGGCAAGGGCAUUCCGAGGAGGGCGCAGAAGCAGAGAGAAGUCCCCCAGGCCUGUGGGCAGGGAAGCAUCAGGUCCAUGUGUUAACUGACCCCAAGGCAAGCCGACUCACGGCUUCCUGGGAACCAUUCUUAUAUCUUCUCUGCCCCCAGGGAAUCAGCACUUUGUUUCUGCCCCCAGAAAGUGCCCAGAGGAAGGAGGGAGGCUCUAGUGUCCAGCAGAUGCCAGUCACGUCCCCCUCACUGCGCCACUGAUGGCCUUGACAUGC